rnacentral:ncRNA from 1 species
CCAAAGGCUCUUUUAAGGGCCACCCACAUAACAGAAAAAGGAGCU